AACACAGAGGGGAAAGAGACCUAGGCAUUUCUGUUGUUUAGCCUUCACAUUUGUUCCCAUAUGCAGAACCCUCCCUGACAAGGAGAGCUGAGUUCAACAUCUCAUGUCUGUGCUUUUUGUUUUUGUAGAGCUAGUUACUUACCUGGGUUAAGUGACCCAGUUAAGUUAAAUGGGGAUAACUCAGUGCUGAGUCAUGUUGGAAAGACAUAGUUCUUGUAAUGUCUGGAUGCUCAGUAGUUGUUCAUUUAUUUCUUCCUGCCGUCUGGACCUAGGUCUCUAAUCUCAGUGGAUCAAGACACAGGAUCUUGAGCAUCAGAAGGAUGUUGAGGAAUAAAAUGGUUUGUCGGGCAGGUAAGAAAUAGACAUCCAAAAUUUGAGGAUUAGAACCAGAUUCCUAUCAAAGAAAAUGGAAAUGAUCACAAGAUUUGGACCUAUCAAUCAUUUCCCAGCUGUUUGAGCAAGAGAAUUGGCUAACAUCAUGGGGCUGGAAUGUGAUGGACACAGGACGAGAACCUGAGAUACCUUUGGCAUCCAUGGCCAGCUAAUGAGAAGAGGAUCCUUAUGUCAGCCGAUUUUCCUGAAUCAUGGGACUUACUUCAAAACUGAGCACCAACACUUCUGCCCUGCGUGAUUCUGUUCCUCUGAAAUGGAGAAGAGGGCUUCUUUGUAUUCAGUGGCUGAAUUGGGCUCCAAAUAUUAAAAGUCCUGCUGACCUUGCAGCAGUAAAUCAUUCUAAGGAAAGGACUCCUGUAGAGCUGGAAGCUGUAGGAAGCUAUAGGCAUCUGGAAGUUGAUACAUCAAUGCAGUUUUACCACUUCUCUAAAUGGCCAAGCAUCUCUCCAGACUCGUGUUCCUGAUUAUUGAUCCAACCUAAGGCACUUUUCCUAUGGAACUUUGAUAUUUCAAACGGAGGCACUUGCAGACUGCUGCUAAAUGGCUGAGCACGGAGGAGGAAGUAGAUGUCUGAGAAAUACCUGACUCAGUAGGACUUCCCCAAGAGAAGUGUUCUUAUAGGAGGGAAUAGCCUGACAGUCAGAAAAUAGCUCCACAUAGAGUCAACUGGUGUAUUCCAAGUUUCUUCAUCCCUUCGGAUGGACCCAUGAGAUUGGAUCAAACACACCAAGAUGCUCAAGGCAACUUGCUUCCAGGUUUAUAGCUCCAGCUGGGACUGUCAAGACACUGUGGAUGGGGGUGUGAAUGGGUAAUAGG